GCGAAAAAAUUAACGUCCGCCCUCUUAUGGUUUACGAUGGGUGCUAGAGCUCAAACGAACACAAGAACACCCAGACGAAGCGAUAAUAACAGCACUAAAAAAGUGAGGCACAGACUAAAUACUGGGUAUUUCAUGUCUGACGACAUCAAGCGGGCGUGGUUUGAGCGCAAGGUCAAGGAGCAUGCGCAGUUUACACUCUCCGUGACGCCCGCGAAGCGGCGAUGAUCUCAUUGGUACUCAACGAAUGCUCUUGCCCUAACCAGAACCAUCAAUCCCAGACAGCUGACACAACGCCAUGCAUUGGCAAUGAGGAAGUUUGUGUACCACAAACUGAAGCAACAUUACUCAGACUUCCAGCUGUAAAGUAUUUUUCCUGUGCUUUGGUUAAGACACCAGUGAGUGCAAGUUUCACAUUUUGGUGAAAAAUUAAUAAAUGCCUCUUUAAGGGAA